GGGUCAGUAGGUUGGUCGUGCCACCGGUACGUACUGGACUCACUGAUUCCUCCUUCCUGAAGAACUGUAAUGCCAUUAAUUUGGUGUUGCGGGGAAACAGGACUGUUACUUUGAAAAAAUUAGAGUGUUUAAAGCAAGCUAACGCUUGAAUACAUUAGCAUGGAAUAAUGAAAUAGGACGAUCGAUCCUAUUUUGUUGGUUUCUAGGAUUGACGUA
rnacentral:rRNA from 1 species